UUGCGUGCUCCCAUACUGCCCACUUUCCUCUUUCAGUCUUUGAGUAUAAUUCAUCUCCAGGAAGACAUGUCAACUUUACAUGGCAGUUCCACAGUUCUGGAAUGUCCUGGACACUGGCUGAGCUGUCAUCUGGAACCAUGUUGUGGACGAAGGGUAGCUUGGAGGCUCUUCCAAACCACUAGUACUACCAAGCACCUCCAAUCCCACAGGGGAGCUGGGAAGCAGAUGCCUUGGGAAAGAAGAAGCCAUGAGUUACUGGGUUUUGGAUGCGGGGAAGUCCUGUCUCUAGAGGUAGAAUUUUAGGAACUGUUCAGAGCAGGUGAUAAGGCACUAGGAAGAGUCCAGGAGCUGAGCCAGGACCAGGACAGAAGAUAUUUUCAGUGGAGGAACUCCUGAAUUCUCCUUGCAGGACAAAAGUCUGUUCAUUCUAUGAAAUACCCAUAACCAACCAUCAGUGUAUCUGCAUACAUCUACCAUACUGGGCAUUAUUUCACCGCAGUGACCUUCUCUAAGCAGAACUCCAUGUUCUGAGAUUGCAGUUAGUCCUGUCCCCAGUUGUGUGUCAUUUGUCUUGAAAAGUAAAUAAAUCAAACCACAA
rnacentral:lncRNA from 1 species